rnacentral:tRNA from 1 species
CGGGGUGUGGCGCAGCUUGGUAGCGCGCUUCGUUCGGGACGAAGAGGUCGUGGGUUCGAAUCCCGCCACCCCGACGA